rnacentral:tRNA from 1 species
GGCUCUGUGGCACAAUCGAUAGCGCAUUGGACUAGUUGUGUGUAGGCAUUCAAACGUUGUGGGUUUGAAUCCCUCCAUGGUUG